GUCUAGGGUAAAAAUACCUUAAACAUUUGCCCCUCACAGGUCGCACGUGCAUGUCACGUGGGGCCUGUGACACGUAUCCACCUUUCAUAGGUGAACAGUAACGGGUAAAAUUUUGAAUUUCAAAUCAAAAUUUUCCCCCCGCUUUUACUUUCUAUAAAUAGAAAGUUACCCCCCCUCCUUUUCACACUUUACGCUCAUAUUGACUUUUUUGAGAGAGAAAGAGAGAUUUCUAGAGAGAGUUUUCUCUGCUCCCACCUGCAUAACAACAAGUUUCAAGCUUCCGAGUGCUAGCAGUACAUCACCCGGUUCACCGGCUGUAGCGGUUUUCAGAUUUUCCAGAGUCAAAGCAAGGUAACCGCCUGUACCAUUUUAGCUUUCCUCCCCUUCAAUUUACAUACCAUUUUUCUUUUUUUCGCCUGUAUGCCCGGCUUUCUUUAGAAAAUAGAAAAUAUAAAUGAGUUCCCAAUCCAACCACUCGGCACUGCCUAGGACACUCAGCCGAUCCCCCGGAACCAAUAUGCUCAUCUCCGAAUUCCUCCCUCUCUGUGUCUGUGCAGGACACAAUGGCCAAAACGAAACAAACGGCCAAGCGGACUAAAAGCCGGCGCACCAUGAGAGUGCCAGCCGAUGAGGUUUUCCCGGAAGGGGAUCCGAGGAAUUUGGAGGAGAGCGGAUCUGACGAAGAGGCUCCCUCUACCUCCGGGAGCUCGGGAUUAAGAGAGGUGGACGGCGAAGGAGCCGCCUCCUCAAAUGAAGCUGGCGACGCUGAAGCCGGCCAGGGACCAAGAGCGGAAUCCUCCGGCUCUGACCAAGGAGAUUUUGCGGCUGACUAUCAGCAGCCGCCCAAAGUUGCUGACUAUCCCAACCCCAAAAGAACCUGGAUGCUGCCGAGUAACAUUGCCCUUCUUAAUAGCGGGUUCAGGGCUUUUAAAGAGAAACAUCCAUUUGGAAAGGGUUGGGAGGUUAUUGUCCCUCCGGCUGAUGUUGUGAUGGCCUUGGGGGAUGACAUUGACCAUGCAGAUGACUACUUCAUCUGCUAUGAGGCGGUAAUAGAAGUCGGCCUCCGGUUCCCCCUCCACCUCGGGAUUAGGAAAAUCCUUAAGGGGUAUGAUCUGGGGGUUUGGCAGCUCACCCCUAAUUCGUGGGUGAACAUAUUAAGUUACAUUGCCGCCUGCGAGUUCCAAAACUUGAACCCCAGCUUCUCUGCCUUCGCUCACAUGCACUACUUGAGCAAGGCUCCAGGCGGCCAUGGGGCAUGGUAUACGCUGACUACCCUGCCCCAAUAUCUGAUGACUUUGGACAAAGUGUCCAAGUGGUCCGAGUGGAAGGACAAGUUCUAUUUGAUUUCCUCUCCAACCCUAAGACACAACCGGACACUACGCCGGUAUAACACUGAGUCGGCUCUUCUUGGACGUAAAUGCCCUCUCCCGGCACUAUCUACUAAAGCCCGGGAGCAAAUCAUGGAGCCGGGAUUUUUUGAGACAACACUGAGCCCAUGGGGGAUGGGACUCACAUCAUAGUUCCCAAGAACUGGAUCCCCCAUUCGGACUUCUUCAAAGAUGAGUGCUUCUUGUCCGCCUGCGGACUGAGUACGAUGUUUUCCAGGGGUAGAAUACUUCUCAUCCGGAAUGAUUGUCAUUUUAUUUUUAUUGCAAACUUGCCUUAAUUCUUUCUAACUUGACAUUCUUGUUUUUGCAGAAGAAGCCCUGAGGAUGGUUGACCAGGAUAAGACUCCUGCUAAAUCUGCGGCGCAACUGCGCAAGGAGGCGACCCUUGUCAAAAAGGCAGCCGUCGAGGCUACGAAGAAAGGCGGGGUAAGACCGCCUGACUUUAUGUUUGCAUUUUUUUUUUUUUUUUUUAACAUACCGGUUGGGUAUACUUAUAUUUUGCUUCUUUCUCAGGAGUCCGCCAAAAGAAUCCCUCGAUCAUUCUCCAAGCUUCUCAAAAGGCAGGGAGAUGAUCUGGAGAAGGCUCCGGCUGCCAAAGCCACAAGGAAGGAUCCCCCCCAGAAGCAAAGUUCUGCCCAAUCUGGUCGUCCAACGACUGGGGGCAAAUCCCCCUGCUGUUCUGAAGAAACUGAGUGAAAGCUCAGAACAGCAGAAAGCGCCGGAGGCCUCUACGGCUUCGAAGGGUGGCGAGCCACCUAAGGUUGCAGGCGGUGCGGCAACCGCUGGGGGGAGGACAAGCCGGAGACCCAUCCGGAAGUUUACGAUCUGCUUCCUAACCCGCCGGAUCUCGCCGGCUUCGCGAAGCGGAUGGUGAGGACCCUCACCCGGUCUGAGAAGGCCUCCGUACCUGAUCUGCAGGUCGUGGACUUUGACCGGAUAAUGGGCUCUCUGGCUGAGGCUAUGGUGAGAGUGGACAAUCUCCGGGUCCCUUAGGCGGAAGCAAGAAGAGGUAAAUGACGCCAAACGGAGGGCCCUAGAAAACCUCAACUUUGCUGAACAUUCUGAUUAUAUGUGUAAUUUAAAGAUUAAAGCAGUAGAGUUGAAACAGGAGGAGCUGAUCCGGAGUUUGACGGCUGCAAACGAUGAAGCUAACAACCGGGCUGAUGACCUUGAUAAGCAGCUGAAAGAUGCCAAAUCUAAUCUCAAGGCAUUAGAAGAUGCUGACAAGGAGAAUCCCCAACUCCGGAUUGACAAUGACCGCCUAAAGCUUGAGCUCAUGACCUUGCGCAACAAGCAGUCGGAUGAGCUGGCCCAGGAGCAGACCCGGCUGACUGAGGAGAAUGAACGGGACAACUUGGCCCGGCUGAAGAGGGGCCUCCUCUACCUAGAAAUAGACUUUGAGGUCUAUAAGCUGAGGUAUGAUUAUGCCACUGAGGUGUAUGAUGCCCAGCAACUGGGUGAUGCUCCUCCGCCUCGCUUCCAAGACUGGGCUGCUGAGGAGGGAUAUGAAGUCUCGGAUGAUGAGGAGCCGGCGGAUGAUCAUCAAGAGGGCCAAGCCAGCCAAACUCAGCCAGAGAAGACUCCGCCUCAGCCUUAGGCGAGCCUCCCACCUUUCUGCAGCAAUAUGCCAAUCAAUGUUGUUUACCGGCUUGCAUGCCGUGUUUUGUUUUAUCUUUUUACCAACCAUGGGGUUGGAUUAACAUUUCCACUUUCUUUCUUCACCAGAUGUGUCCGGUUAACAAUUAUUCUGGCCUUUAUGCCAUUUCAAAUAUAAAUGAAGUAUUCCGACACAGUCGGAUUUUAUAUAUGUCUGUUUUGAGUUUUUUCAAUUUGAAUUUUUUAUGUGUAUGCAAUUCUUUAGUA